UAACAGAAUAAAUGCUUCAUAGAAAAUAGAGACAAACUCCCUGGCAAUAAUCAAUGGGAAUCGGUUGAGAAUCGGGUGGGAAAAUUCUCCCCAAUGUUUCAGAUAUGGUUUAGAAAAAUAGCCAUUGUGAUUAUAUGCCUUAGCCAUUGUGAUUAUGUGCCUCAGAAAAGGUCACCCUGCCCUGCUAAACUUCACCCAAUUCUGUAACGCCAAGGCUUGUGCCCCCCUGCUUGCUGCCAUGGAAACCCCCUGCUCACAGACUUUCCCUUUAAAAAUCCUGUUCACUCAGAGCUCGGGGUCCCACUUCUCUACUGCUGCGCCAGUGAGACUUGGGUCCCGAGUUCGAUCGCUCUCGUAAUAAAGCUCUCUUGCAAUUGGAUUGAGUCAUCUCCUGGUGGUCUCUGAGGGUCCCGUGAACCUGGCAUAACAUUUGGGGGCUCGUUCAUCUGGGAUGCCUCGGGACCUCCAGGACUCCUGACCCGGAGAGCUUAGUCCCGCGGAAACAGUCUCUCAUCUUCUGUGCCUGAUUGCUGGACUGCCCUGCUCAUGAUGCCAUGAGACCACAGGAGCCAAGGACAGCUGCCUAGAGUGAUGGACUGACUAGUUGUCACUGUCAUUUUGAUUGGUACAUACUUAUCCUUCCCAGUUUAAACUUGUCUCAGCAGAUUUUCAUCUGGUUGAAACCGCAAGCUGAGAUUUGAACUUCCUGGAAGCUGUCAUGAUUACUCACUGCCUCCUUGGAUGGACCACCUAACCAGACGUUUCUGAGGACUGCCCCAUUGCCCAGCCUUUGACUGGCAUUUCAGCCUUCCUAGCCCCUGAUGUCAACGGUCCUACUGUCAGAGUUGAAGUAGUUUCAGAAGACGAGACCACGGUCCAAAAUCCCACCUACAUGCUGAAAUGCUAAGUCAAAGGUGGCUCCCUGAUAUUAGCUAUUAUCUUGGGGAUUGCUUAGCUGGAGCAGAAACUAGUAUUGCAAUACAAUACUGGAUGUACAAAGCCAGAGUUAUAGCAGCUCAAGGGCAGAAUCUUUUGCUUUUGGCCAUUUUUAGAUCAGGCUUACUUAACAAGUUGUUAAAAUAUUAAAAAAGACUAGGAACUAUACAGUUAAUGGUAAUAAAAACCAAUACAGUCAGCUUGGAGAUGGCCUUAAAGACCUUGAACUGUAAGAGCCCAAGAUUGGCCUCUUCAGUUACAUGGAAAGGGGGAAAUGAAGAGCUUAAGAUAGCCUGAAUAUAACUCCAUUUUGAAAUAAAGAUCUUGACUGGGAACUGAAUUCAGGCACCAGGAAAUAUCACAGAAUGUACACCUGGCAGAAAACAAAGUUAACUCUCCUAGCAACAGCCUCCAGGAAAUAUAACAGAAUAAAUGCUUCAUAGAAAAUAGAGACAAACUCCUUGGCAAUAAUCAAUGGGAAUCGGUUGAGAAUCGGGUGGGAAAAUUCUCCCCAAUGUUUCAGAUAUGGUUUAGAAAAAUAGCCAUUGUGAUUAUAUGCCUUAGCCAUUGUGAUUAUGUGCCUCAGAAAAGGUCACCCUGCCCUGCUAAACUUCACCCAAUUCUGUAACGCCAAGGCUUGUGCCCCCCUGCUUGCUGCCAUGGAAACCCCCUGCUCACAGACUUUCCCUUUAAAAAUCCUGUUCACUCAGAGCUCGGGGUCCCACUUCUCUACUGCUGCGCCAGUGAGACUUGGGUCCCGAGUUCGAUCGCUCUCGUAAUAAAGCUCUCUUGCAAUUGGAUCGAGUCAUC